AGGACUGGAGAUUCUAGGGGUUUUCCAUUUGUGAGGUUUAAAUACGAGGAUGAGGCGCGAAAGGCCGUGGACAAGCUUGAUGGGAGAGUUGUGGAUGGAAGAGAGAUUAUGGUUCAAUUUGCAAAUUAUGGCCCAAAUGCUGAGCAAAUCUGUGUGUGUGUGUUUAGGUUAUCAGCGCUAAGGGGACCUGGAGCUUAGGCACAAAGAGUAGGCGCCCGCCUUAGCGAGAUAUGGUUAGGAGCAGACACAAAGCAUAUGCUUCUCAUGAUGUUAACAUAAGAACACUUGUGCCAUUUGAAGGAGGUGAGCCUUCGACACCUCAAUCACAGCAUUCGGUGCAGUUUAAUGUGUCAAUGGCUAGUCAGGAGCCUGCACCAGUGGCCAGCCAAGAGAUUGCACCAGAAACAUUACAGGAGUCUGCAGCUGUUAGCUCACAAGACUCUCGUCCAUCAAUUGAAAUAGAGAUUGAUUCUUUUGGGCAAAGGCGACUAGAACUUUGUAAUGGAAAGUUAUCAGAUGGUUCUAGGUGUGCUCGUGUGAUCACAAAUACUUUUAAGCAACGUAUUGACUCUAACGGUGUCAACUGGAAGGCUAUAUAGCAAGAGACAAAAGAUUUUUAUUGGGAAGAAUUUAAGAAAAAAUAUUUUUGGGAUUCUUCUAAUGAAGCAGUGAUAAAGGAUGCAUGGAGAUUAAGGGCAGCUGAACGCUACAAGGACAUGAUGAUAAAUUUGAAAAAUUCUAGGAAAAAGCCCUCAUAUAUUUCUGAAGAAAUUUGGGAAAAUUUUGAGCAGUAUUGGAAUGACCCUAAGGUCAUUCGGUGGUCAGAACUAUAUUCUAGAAAUCACCGCGGUGCUGUAAAUGUUUCUGGACCAUCUACUCAUACAGGCAGAUCCAUAAAAUAUAUUGAAUGGUCAGAUAAAUUGGUAAUUUUCAUAGAAACAGAUCACAAGUUCAUUAUUAUAUCACAAUUUAAACUUAGUUGAAAAAAUAUAUACACACACACACACAUUAAUUAUGAGGACAAGGCAUCUAUGAUUGUUGAUAGAAAUAUGAUGAAAUUGUGAUGAAAAAUUUUGUGGAUUGUUGUGUGAUUGAAUUAUAAGAUUUUUGUUGAUUUUUGACAAGGUAAGAUGUCAAAAUAUAGGAGAAACUCUGUCUAUUUUUAUUUUAAUUUCAUAAUAAUUACUGUGUGAUUGAAUUGUGAGAAUUUUAUUAAUUUAUGAAAAGGUAAAAUGUCAAAAUAUAGGGAAAAUUCUGUCCGUUUAUUUUAAUUUCAUAAAAAAUUUUAAUAAUUUAUUAUAUAUUUACAUACAAUAAUAGUUUAUGAAAACUAUUUAUCUUUUGUUUUGGGAAAAUAAUUGGGUCGAAAGCCACCUCCGACUGAGUUGUUUGUCUACACUCACACCCGAAAGCAUGAUAAGGAGACUUUUGUGGACCAAAAA
rnacentral:misc_RNA from 1 species